rnacentral:tRNA from 1 species
GCCGAGAUAGCUCAGUUGGUAGAGCGGCGGUAUCGUAAACCGCAGGUCGCAGGUUCAAUCCCUGUUCUCGGCU